UUGAGCCACGGCGCCCGGCCUGCCAUUUCUAAUAGUGCAUGUAUUAAGAUGAAGAAGGAGGAGGAUUGGAGAACUGAGUAAAGGAAGAGGAGGACGAAGAAAGAAAAAGAAACCGAGGGACCAUUUUAAAUAAAAGAUAAAUCAAGAGAAAACUGUCUUACCAGAUUGCAUUCCCCAAAGUGAGGGCAGUCCAGAGUGGCACACCAAAGUAUUUCUGAUGCCAGAACUUCACCAUCAGAGACAGCAGUCCUCUUCCCUGGCCUGGACAAGAUCCCCAAGGUACUCACAAUACUUCUCAUGAAUUGAGGCAUGAAAAGGUCUCCUGAUGAAGGACUCAAGUUGGUGGAGAAGCUGAUCGUCCACCUCGAUCUCACUUUUUC
rnacentral:lncRNA from 1 species